rnacentral:rRNA from 1 species
AGAGUUUGAUCAUGGCUCAGAACGAACGCUGGCGGCGUGGAUAAGACAUGCAAGUCGAACGGGGUAUUAUUUGUAGCAAUACACGUAAUGCCUAGUGGCGUAAGGGUGCGUAACACGUGGGCAAUCUGCCGAGAAGUGGGGGAUAGCUCGCCGAAAGGCGAAUUAAUACCGCAUGUGGUUAAGGAGGACAUCCUUCUGACACCAAAGCCGGGGCAACCUGGCGCUUCUUGAUGAGCCCGCGGCCUAUCAGCUUGUUGGCGGGGUAACGGCCCACCAAGGCUAUGACGGGUAGCUGGUCUGAGAGGACGACCAGCCACACUGGAACUGAGACACGGUCCAGACACCUACGGGUGGCAGCAGUCGAGAAUUUUUCUCAAUGGGGGAAACCCUGAAGGAGCGACGCCGCGUGGAGGAUGAAGGUCUUCGGAUUGUAAACUCCUGUCAUUUGAGAACAAGUUGCAUCGGUUAACUGCCGAUGCAUUGAUAGUAUCAGAAGAGGAAGAGACGGCUAACUCUGUGCCAGCAGCCGCGGUAAUACAGAGGUCUCAAGCGUUGUUCGGAUUCAUUGGGCGUAAAGGGUGCGUAGGUGGCGAGGUAAGUCAGGUGUGAAAUCUCGGGGCUCAACCCCGAAACUGCACUUGAUACUGCCUUGCUUGAGUACUGGAGAGGAGAUUGGAAUUUACGGUGUAGCAGUGAAAUGCGUAGAUAUCGUAAGGAAGACCAGUGGCGAAGGCGAAUCUCUGGACAGUUACUGACACUGAGGCACGAAGGCCAGGGGAGCAAACGGGAUUAGAUACCCUAGUAGUCC